rnacentral:lncRNA from 1 species
GGGCCCAAUCCCGUUACAAGGACCACGGACUUCCGUUUCGUUCCGCCUGUAAGUCCCGCCUGGUCCCGCCUCCUCCUGAAAAGAGCUCAGUUGUCAAGGAACUAUUUUUCUUGCCGUCGUCCCAGAGAUGCCUUUGGAAAAGCGGAAGGGCACGGAGGGUUCUGGAGUUCGUUGCUGGCACCUGCGUGGUGUCAUGAGAACGUGGCGGGGCGAUUCACACUACAAGGAAUACUAAAGGACGUUCUCCACAUUGAAGGAAAAUGAUCUAAAGAGAAACAGAUCUGUAAGAAGAAAUGAAGAGCACUGGUAAAGCCUAGCUUCACCUUCUGCAAUGUGUGGAAACAGACUGAGGUCCUCACCAGAAGCAAAUGCUAGCACCAUGCUUCUUGGAGACCCUGCAGAACUGUGAGUCAAAUAAACCUUUUUCUUUAUAAAUUACCCAGCCUCAGAUAUUCCUUCACAGCAACACAAAAGGACUAAGACAUUAUUGUAAGGUUUUAGACAUUUUACACAUUGUAUAAGAUGUGGUGAAAUACUAAUUCAAAGCACAGACAGUCCCUGAUUACAGUGGUUUGACUUACAGUUUUUCAACUUUACAAUGUGUUCAUUGGGAUGAUUAAAUGCAUUUUCAACUUAACAAUAUUUUCGGCUUACAAUGGGCGUAUCGGGACAUAACCCCAUCAUAAGUUGAGGAACAUCUGUAGAUUAUAAUAAAUUAAACAUGCACAUAGCGAUCUAGAAUAACUAUUAAAAGAAAAUGCAAACAUAGGUAUAAC